CGUGUGGUUAAUUCGAUGUUACACGAAGAACCUUACCAGGGUUUGACAUGCAAGUGGUAGGAAGCCGAAAGGUGACCGACCUUCGGGGAGCUUGCACAGGUGCUGCAUGGCUGUCGUCAGCUCGUGUCGUGAGAUGUUCGGUUAAGUCCGCUAACGAGCGCAACCCUCGCUGUGUGUUAUAUGUGUCACACGGGACUGCCGGUCUUAAAGCCGGAGGAAGGUGGGGAUGACGUCAAAUCAUCAUGCCCCUUAUGUUCUGGGCUACACACGUGCUACAAUGGCCGGUACAGACGGAGGCGAAGCCGCGAGGCGGAGCAAAACCGAAAAAGCCGGUCUCAGUUCGGAUUGCAGGCUGCAAUUCGCCUGCAUGAAGUCGGAAUCGCUAGUAAUCGCAGGUCAGCAUACUGCGGUGAAUACGUUCCCGGGCCUU
rnacentral:rRNA from 1 species